rnacentral:lncRNA from 1 species
GUAACGACGUAGGACCUUUAGCCAUCCUCAUUCCUAACUCGUCGGCAACACGAAACACAACUAGUGCCGGUACUGCCGCAUCGAAAGCAUGGCCUUUUGUCAACUUUUUUUAUUUGAAUUGCUCAUGAUGUAUGCCAUGAAGUUUGAUGUAUGUAGCAUAAAAUGUAUAUGAAUAACCAAUGAGGCAUAAUGUAAUGCUUAUGUAAAAUGCUUGUUUUAAUAACAAAAAUUACUUAUGAUUUUAAGGUUG